UACGUAGGGGGCAAGCGUUGUCCGGAAUCAUUGGGCGUAAAGAGCGUGUAGGCGGCUCGAUAAGUCUGCUGUGAAAGUCCAGGGCUCAACCCUGGAAGGCCGGUGGAAACUGUCGGGCUAGAGUCCGGAAGAGGCGAGUGGAAUUCCCGGUGUAGCGGUGAAAUGCGCAGAUAUCGGGAGGAACACCAAUGGCGAAGGCAGCUCGCUGGGACGGUACUGACGCUGAGACGCGAAGGCGUGGGGAGCAAACAGG
rnacentral:rRNA from 1 species